CCCUGCUCACCCUCCCGCCCUUCCCAGAGCCGGAAUCCAUCUGGAAUUCCACCCCGGUGUUGGUCGCUGUGUCCGUCAUUGCUGCCAUCAUCGUCAUCAUCGGCCUCAUCGCAGUCGGUGUCUGGAAGCUCCGAGCCGGGAAGGGAAAGGGCAAUGGAUACGACCCCGCACCCACCACAGGAAUCACAGCCUGAGUGAUCCCAGACCUGGAUCUGCUCCUUCCCUGUCCCUGCGGAAAGGCAGGAGCUGCUGGCAGAGCUCAUCCCGCUGCUCCCUCCCAGCCCGGCCCC